ACAGUCUAGACUGCUUUGGAACAUCUGUUAAAGAACUGCAAGAUGAAUAUUCAAGGAUGAAGGAGACCUGUGAGACAGAGAAAAGUGAGAAAUCAGCUCUCUUGGAGAAGUUGAUUAUUCUUGAGAAACUUGUUGAGAAAAAUGCCUUCUUAGAAAAUUCCAUUUCUGAUAUGAGUGUUGACUUGGAAGAGACCAGGGAGAGGGUAAAG
rnacentral:misc_RNA from 1 species